UUCCGGUUGAUCCUGCCGGACCCGACUGCUAUCAGAGUGAGAUUAAGCCAUGCGAGUUAACGUAGCAAUACGUGGCGCACGGCUCAGUAACACGUAGUCAACAUGCCCAGAGGACGUGGAUAACCUCGGGAAACUGAGUCUAAACCGCGAUAAGUGAGGAUUUCUGGAAUGGUUCCUGACUAAAAUCUAUAUGGCCUCUGGAUUGGACUGCGGCCGAUCAGGCUGUUGGUGAGGUAAUGGCCCACCAAACCUAUAACCGGUACGGGCUCUGAGAGGAGAAGCCCGGAGAUGGGCACUGAGACAAGGGCCCAGGCCCUAUGGGGCGCAGCAGGCGCGAAACCUCUGCAAUAGGCGAAAGCCUGGCAGGGUUACUCUGAGUGAUUUCCGCUAAGGGGAUCUUUUGGCACCUCUAAAAAUGGUGCAGAAUAAGGGGUGGGCAAGUCUGGUGUCAGCCGCCGCGGUAAUACCAGCACCCCGAGUGGUCGGGACGAUUAUUGGGCCUAAAGCAUCCGUAGCCGGUUCUGCAAGUCUUCCGUUAAAUCCAGCCGCUCAACGGAUGGGCCGCGGAGGAUACUACAGGACUAGGAGGCGGGAGAGGCAAGCGGUACUCAGUGGGUAGGGGUAAAAUCCUUUGAUCCAUUGAAGACCACCAGUGGCGAAGGCGGCUUGCCAGAACGCGCUCGACGGUGAGGGAUGAAAGCUGGGGGAGCAAACCGGAUUAGAUACCCGGGUAGUCCCAG
rnacentral:rRNA from 1 species